rnacentral:lncRNA from 1 species
AUUGGGUGAAUAUUGCUGGGCAAUAUUCGAGCCUUUUGCCGAAAAUUUUUUGUACGCCGCUCGGCGGCGGCAAUACAAGGGAUGACGGUUGGAAACUUCGAUGCACGAGACAGGCGACGAGUGGCUCGGGGCUCGCCGUUGUGCUGCGCUAGACCAUUUGCCGCCGUUUGCGUCGCAUCGCUUCGAGAUUCCGAGACCACGCCCGCUGCCUCUCUGUAACGGUCCCUCCGGCGCGGUCUUGGACACCUGCACGGGGGGCCACUGCUGCUGGAAGGAAUCGCGCGGUCGGACCCGCAGAGAGCCGGCGACGAUACCGCUGUGAGCAGCGGCAAGGAGCUUCAUAUACCUUCUGUUUUGCGUUUUUCCGGCGGGGCUUUUGCAUACGGAAUCCGGGGUGACCGUGAAUGGGAUUCAGCUGGCUAGGAAGUGUGACAUCUGGAGACGUCGCGAUCCUCCUCCGGCGUGGCUCCGAGAGCGAUGGCGACGGGUUGAGAAACCAGUUGCAGCGGCGGCUGCAAACCCUAGAGGUUUCGGGACAUUGGGCUGGGCCUGUUGUCUGCUGCUGGGUCACCUUAUUUGGGCUAAUGGGCUGCUGCCUAUUAUAAUAAGGCUGGGCUUGCGAAAAUUUUAAAUAAAUGGCCCAAAAAUUGGGCUAAGUAAGUUUGAUUAAAAAAAAAAGUUCUGUU